GUACACGAGCGGCGAACGGGUGAGUAACACGUGAGCAACCUACCCUCAACUUCGGGAUAAGCCUCGGAAACGGGGUCUAAUACCGGAUAUCACUACCGUCCUCAUGGUUGGUGGUUGAAAGUUCUGGCGGUUGGGGAUGGGCUCGCGGCCUAUCAGCUUGUUGGUGGGGUAAUGGCCUACCAAGGCGUCGACGGGUAGCCGGCCUGAGAGGGCGACCGGCCACACUGGGACUGAGACACGGCCCAGACUCCUACGGGAGGCAGCAGUGGGGAAUAUUGCGCAAUGGACGAAAGUCUGACGCAGCAACGCCGCGUGAGGGAUGACGGCCUUCGGGUUGUAAACCUCUUUCAGCAGGGACGAAGCGAGAGUGACGGUACCUGCAGAAGAAGGACCGGCCAACUACGUGCCAGCAGCCGCGGUAAUACGUAGGGUCCGAGCGUUGUCCGGAAUUAUUGGGCGUAAAGGGCUCGUAGGCGGUUCGUCACGUCGGGAGUGAAAACUCGGAGCUCAACUCCGAGCCUGCUUCCGAUACGGGCAGACUAGAGGUAGGCAGGGGAGAGCGGAACUCCUGGUGUAGCGGUGGAAUGCGCAGAUAUCAGGAAGAACACCGGUGGCGAAGGCGGCUCUCUGGGCCUUACCUGACGCUGAGGAGCGAAAGCGUGGGUAGCGAACAGGAUUAGAUAC
rnacentral:rRNA from 1 species